ACGUACUUCCGGUGCGCUGGCGUUGGUGAGGCAAGCUGGGAGGCCGAUUUUGACAGCCCGGCAGUGGUCUCCGCUCACCGGUCCGUAGCUCCUGCCGACACACGAAGUUUCAGGCCACCCCGGCCCCGCGGCUGGGCAGGAUGCGGCUGGGCUCCGGGGCCUUCGCUGCCAGCUGCGUAGCAAUUGAGGUUAUCGGGUUCGCGAUAUUUAUUCGGGGAUUCUUCCCGGCCCCUGUUCGUUCUUCUGCUAGACCAGAGCACGGUGUAGAAACCCCGGCUCCCGAACCAGUGGCAGGAGCCAGUUCGAACUGGACCAAGCUGCCAUCACCUCUCUUCAGUAAAGUUGUUAUUAUGCUGAUAGAUGCUUUAAGAGAUGAUUUUGUGUUUGGGUCAGAAGGUGUGAAGUAUAUGCCUUACACAACUUACCUGGUAGAAAAAGGAGCAUCUCAUAGUUUUGUGGCUGAGGCAAAGCCACCCACAGUUACUAUGCCUCGAAUCAAGGCGUUGAUGACAGGGAGUCUCCCUGGCUUUGUUGAUGUCAUAAGGAACCUCAAUUCUCCUGUGCUUCUAGAAGACAAUGUGAUAAGACAGGCAAAAGCUGCUGGGAAAAGAAUGAUCUUUUAUGGAGAUGAAACAUGGCUUAAAUUAUUCCCAAAGCACUUUGUGGAAUAUGAUGGGACAACAUCAUUCUUUGUGUCAGAUUAUAUAGAGGUGGACAAUAAUGUCACAAGACAUUUGGAUAAAGUAUUAAAAAGAGGAGACUGGGAUGUGCUAAUACUUCACUAUCUAGGGCUGGAUCACAUUGGCCACAUUUCUGGGCCCAACAGCCCCCUGAUUGGUCACAAGCUCAAUGAAAUGGACAGUAUCCUGAUGAAGAUUCACACAUCACUGUUGUCAAAGGAAAGAGAGACUCUCUCACCCAGUUUGCUGGUUCUCUGUGGUGACCAUGGGAUGUCUGAGUCAGGGAGCCAUGGGGCCUCUUCCACAGAGGAAGUAAGCACACCUCUGAUCUUAAUCAGCUCUGCAUUUGAAAGGAAACCUGGGGCUAUUCGACACCCAAAGCAUGUCCAGCAGACUGACUUGGCUGCAACACUAGCAAUAGGACUUGGUUUGCCGAUUCCUAAAGACAGUGUAGGGAGCCUCUUAUUUCCAGUUAUAGAAGGAAAACCAAUGAGAGAACAACUGAGAUUUUUACACUUAAACACAUUGCAGCUUAGCAAACUAUUGCAAGAAAACGUUCCAUCGUAUGAAAAAGAUCCUGGAUUUGAGCAGUUUAAAAUGGCAGAAAGGUUGCACGGGAACUGGGUCAGACUGCACUUGGAAGAAAACCAUUCAGACGUUCUGCUUGGCCUGGGGACCAAAGUGCUCAGGCAGUACCUGGGUGCCCUGAAGACCCUGAGUCUGGCUCUGAGCACACAAGUGGCUCACUAUGACAUCUACUCCAUGGCAGUAGGGACUGUCAUGGUUUUGGAGGUUCUUACCCUGUUCCUCCUUAGCACUCCACAUGUGCUGUGCAGAAAGGCUGAGCUGGAUGUUCCUCUGUUGUCUCCUGUGUUUUCUCUGCUCUUUUAUUUGAUAUUUCUGGUUCUUUCGGCCAUUCAUGUCCUGGUAUGCACCUCAUCCGAAAGCUCAUGCUACCUCUGCAGCCUCCCGUGGCUGGCAGUCGGGGGUGUGAUGGUACUUGUUUCUGCGCUGCUCUGUGUAAUUGUGUCUGCCCUUAUCAGGAUGGUCAUCGAUGGCACCCUGCUGAAGAAGAGUGCAGCUUAUCCCAGCUCAGGGUGGUCAGAGGUGGAUGUCCUCCUUCUUCUGGGCACAGUGGGCCAUGUUCUGAGCCUGGGAGCCAGCAGCUUUGUGGAAGAAGAGCAUCAGACCUGGUACUUCCUUGUUAACACUCUGUGCCUGGCUCUGAGCCAGGAAACCUGUAGGAGUUGCUUUGUGGGAGAUGACUGUGAACCUCAGCGUCGCUUCCAUGUGGAACAAGGAUGUGUAGACAUACUUGCCUGCACCCUGAAGGACAGUACAAGCUACAGUACCCCUAAGCCUGACAGAACAAGGAAAGGGGUCUCCCUUUCUGAAGCACAAGGAAGCUGCAAAUGGUGGACAGUGCUGGCGAGUCCGUGGCUGGUGCUGAUCUGCUGUCGGCUACUGAGGUCCUUGAACCAGACAGGGGUGCAGGGAGCCCAUCGGCCUGAUCUCAGCCACUGGCUUACCAGCUCUGACCACAAAGUACAACUCUCAGGCCUGGCUGCCCUUUCUCUGGCUGUGAUCUUCAUGUUGGUUCAAAAGGGGUGCUCCCUUGUAUCCAAGGCAGCCUUAGCACUGGGGCUGCUGGGCGUCUUCUGCUACAGGGCAGCCACUGGAAUUGUGCUGUUCCCAUGGCAACCAGACAACAAAGGCAUUUCAAAGGGUAUUAUUGAAGCUCGUUUUGUUUAUGUAUUUGUCCUUGGCAUUCUGUUCACGGGUACCAAAGAUUUACUUAAAGCACAAGUCAUUGCAACAGACUUCAAAACCAAGACUAUAGGUUUGUGGGAGAUACAUAGUGGAUUAGUUCUUCUGGCAGCAUUGCUCUUGAGACCACAUAAUCUUCCAGUGUUAGCAUUUAGUCUAUUGAUUCAGACUAUAAUGACUAAGUUCAUCUGGAAGCCCCUGAGACACGAUGCAGCUGAGAUCACUGUAAUGCAUUAUUGGUUUGGUCAAGCAUUCUUCUAUUUUCAGGGUAACUCAAACAACAUUGCCACCAUUGACAUUUCAGCAGGCUUUGUGGGCUUAGAUACCUACAUGGAAGUUCCAGCUGCAUUCCUCACAGUGUUUGGAACAUACGUGGGUCCUGUGCUCUGGGCCAGCCACCUCGUGCACUUCCUGAGCUCAGAGGAAAGCAAAUAUAUGAGCACACAUGGCCUACUGUGUGCUUGGCCUUAUUGCCCAAGGCUGGGACAUUUUCCUUCUUCUCUGUACCUGACUGAGAUCUCAGAAGCUGGCUGGUUCUACUACUGGAGGGGAAGAAUGUUUUCCAUGGAGGCACUUGGCCCAGAGCCACAGAGAUGAAAGCAAACAUCUGUUUCCUUUGCUGACUUUGGUCAUCUUUACACUCCCAUGCCAACACUGAAUCUGCACACACAGGCGGAGCAGAAUUUGAAACAGCAUCCUACCGGUCCUGCGCCUAGUGAAUGAUGACUCGCCAGAAAGCAAAGACGCAACCCUGCCUCCGUGUGAGCUUGGCGUGUGGCCCAGGAGGCUCCGUGAGCCUGCGUGCGUAAGGAUCGUGACGCCCACGCUUGAGAGCAGAGCUCAGUGCAAACUUCCAAUGGUUCUUCCAGUUUCCAGGGAAACGAGAUUUGGAGCUGCUGCAUGUUGCAGAGCUACCCCUCUCCUCCCCAGAGGGAGCCCUGCGAAUGGCUGGGUUUUGGGAGGAAGGGAUUGAGGACACCUACUCCAUGAAGGGUAGGGAGUCUGAAUCAGAAGAGUCAAGCCAAGAAACAUCAAUCAUCCUGAAGGAGUCUUCAGAGGUUGAAGUCUCGGUGAAGCUGGCCAUGCCCAGGUAAAAAUAAAUUAUAUAAAACCACAAUUAAAUAAAUUAUAUUAAAAUAUGGGUAACAAAUACUUAAAGCAAACACUUUCUAUUUUACUACACUUUUCUGUUCAGUUUUUUAAUUACUUAUUUAUGUAUUU